ensembl:lncRNA
ACUAAAAUGUAAUUAGUUUUAGUCACAUUUAACAGCCAUAUUAAACUCCUUUUCUUCCCUCCUCAGGCCCAGGGACCCCCUGUGUUGUGUCUACAGCUGCAUAAUAGUCUAGCUUGCAGUACUUGGUUGUCCAUGAGAUGUCCCUCCUAGGGCAGAUCUAUACAUGUCCCUCCUAGGACAGGUCCAUCAAAUGUCCCUCCUAGGACAGGUCUAUAGAUGUCCCUCCUAGGACAGGCCUAUAGAUGUCCCUCCUAGGACAGGCCUAUAGAUGUCCCUCCUAGGACAGGUCUAUAGAUGUCCCUCCUAGGACAGGCCUAUAGAUGUCCCUCCUAGGACAGGCCUAUAGAUGUCCCUCCUAGGACAGGCCUA